GACGAACGCUGGCGGCGUGCUUAACACAUGCAAGUCGAACGGUAAGGCCCUUCGGGGUACACGAGUGGCGAACGAGUGAGUAACACGUGGGUGAUCUGCCCUGCACUUCGGGAUAAGCCUGGGAAACUGGGUCUAAUACCGGAUAGGACUCCGGACUGCAUGGCCUGGGGGGGAAAGCUUUUGCGGUGUGGGAUGGGCCCGCGGCCUAUCAGCUUGUUGGUGGGGUGAUGGCCUACCAAGGCGACGACGGGUAGCCGGCCUGAGAGGGUGACCGGCCACACUGGGACUGAGAUACGGCCCAGACUCCUACGGGAGGCAGCAGUGGGGAAUAUUGCACAAUGGGCGCAAGCCUGAUGCAGCGACGCCGCGUGAGGGAUGACGGCCUUCGGGUUGUAAACCUCUUUCAGCACCGACGAAGCGCAAGUGACGGUAGGUGCAGAAGAAGGACCGGCCAACUACGUGCCAGCAGCCGCCGCCG
rnacentral:rRNA from 1 species